GUCCACGCCCUAAACGAUGUAAACUAGUUGUCGGGACUUAAUUUCUUGGUAACGCAGCUAACGCGUGAAGUUGACCGCCUGGGGAGUACGGUCGCAAGAUUAAAACUCAAAGGAAUUGACGGGACCCGCACAAGCGGUGGAUGAUGUGGAUUAAUUCGAUGCAACGCGAAAACCUUACCUACCAUUGACAUGGUCCAAAUCCCGUAGAGAUAUGGGAGUGCUCGCAAGAGAAUGGAUACACAGGUGCUGCAUGGCUGUCGU
rnacentral:rRNA from 1 species